AUUAUAGGAUCCAGUGUUGCUCGAUUCAGGAUGGAGCACAAAGGAGUGGCCUAGAUGUUACACUGCAAAAGCAAAAGUCAAUAAACAAACACCUGCUUCAACAAAUGUUCAAAGACAGUAUCUCACGCUUGCUUUCUUUCCUCUUUGAGAGUGUCUGUAUGCAAAGACACACAGAAGUGCUCGUAUUUGGAUCUUUAGAUCUGAAAGAAGCUGCCGUGAUACUUCCUACAGUUGUGUAGAUGGAACUGCCGUUCUCUGGCUUUGAGCUGACCUUCGUCAUCAUUGCCUUCGUCGUCUUCUCGCUCUUCAGCUUGGCUUCAGUCUGCAUCCAACCAGAAGCAACACAUCAAGAAAAAUGUGUCUAUGAAGCAGAGGGCUCACGAAAUCACAGAAAGCAGAGAGUGAUCACUAAGCAAGCCGGACAGAAACCGUAAAGUAAAUGUCAGAGAAUUCAAGCCUAAUCUGGUGUACUGCUGG